AAAUUUCAGCUGUUCUCAGCCCUGCUGCUGCAUUUUUACCAAAGACUUCCAACAGCACCAUGAAGUUGGUAGGCUUCCUCCUGCUUGUGACCAUCAUCACCCUCAGCCUAGAGGUACAGGAGCUUCAGGCUUCGGUGAUACCACUGAAACUGUUGGGCACCUGUAUUGACCUCUGCACCAGUGACUGGGACUGUGAUCUAGGAGAGUCCUGCAUCAGCAAUGGGUGUGGCCACAUCUGUAUGGCAGGCUAAGGACAGAUGAAGACUAAUCUUAAGAGUCAUCCUUCUCUAAUAAUUGCUCAUCCCUUCCUGGAGUUUUAAUUUCAAAAGAUGUCGCUGUUUGGAGUUCCUUGACCAAGAAGACAGAUAAAAAUGGGGGCCUGUGGAUGGAGAUUACAAAGGAUGUGGUGGGGAAGGGAAAA